AUGGGAGGGACGGGGAGAGGACAGGCAGCACUGGGACGUAUUGGGAUGCAUUGGGAUGCACUGGGAUGCACUGGGAUGCACUGGGAUGCAUUGGGAUGCACUGGGAUGCACUGGGAUGCAUUGGGAUGCAUUGGGAUGGCUGGGGACUUCGAGGGGGGAGGCAGCGAUGCCGAGGGGGGCGGGGCCACCACGAAGGCCACGCCCCCAUCAGACCAUGCCCCGCCCCCAAAGCACCGCCCCCUGUCAGUCAGGCCACGCCCCCAUCCCUCAGGCCACGCCCCCUCCCGUGUCCACGUGUCCGUACGGUCACGUUCCCAGCUCCCACCCGCGGGUGGGGGGCACCGCCGGGACAUGGGGGGGGUCCGGGCCCUGCGCCGCGAUCCCCCGUGGGGCCGUGGGCGGGGCGGGGGGGCGGGGGGCGCAGCGAUGUUUGUUCAGCUGCGGGGCGGGACAGCGGGGGGGGGGUGGAGGGACACGGGGGGGUCCACGGCCACAGCCCCGCGUGGGGGGGAAGGGGAAGGACGUGGGGGGAGUGGGGGUGUAAAGUGGGGGUGUAAAGUGGGGGCACUGGGAAGGACUGGGAUGGACUGGGAUGGAGGGGGGGUCUGGGGGACUGGAAGGACGUGGGGGGCUGAGAUGGACUGGGGAGCACUGGGAGGGUCUGGGACAGACUGGGGGGACUGGGAGAGAUACUGGGGAGCACUGGGAUGGACUGGGAGGGAGUCGGAAUUCUGGGGGUACUGGGGGGAUCAGGGACACUGGGAGAGACUGGGAUGGAGCUGGGAUUGUGAUACUGGGGGGACUGGGAAUAGUGGGACGGACUGGGGAGUGCUGAGGCAGACUGGGAUGGACUGGGAUGGCCGGGGAUACUGGGGGGACUGCGGAUACUGGGAGGAUGCACUGGGAUGGUUUGGGGGGGUAAUGGGGGAACCAAGAGAACCGGGACAAACUGGGAUGGACUGGGAUGAACUGGGAGUUGUGGAGCCCUGGGGGGCUGCAGAGCAGCUGUGGGGGCACAGCAGGGAUGGGAACUGGGAGCACUGGUGCCAAUGGUACAAUACACCCCCCACCCCCCAGUCGCCCUUGGGCUGCCCUUGA
rnacentral:lncRNA from 1 species